rnacentral:rRNA from 1 species
UACGUAGGUGGCAAGCGUUGUCCGGAUUUACUGGGCGUAAAGAGCGCGCAGGCGGUCGUUCAAGUCGCGUGUGAAAGCCCCCGGCUCAACUGGGGAGGGUCACGCGAUACUGAUCGACUCGAAGGCAGGAGAGGGUAGUGGAAUUCCCGGUGUAGUGGUGAAAUGCGUAGAUAUCGGGAGGAACACCAGUGGCGAAGGCGGCGCUCUGGGCAUUCCCUGACGCUGAGGAGCGAAAGUGUGGGGAGCGAACAGG